CAGGAGGGGAAUAUUGCACAAAGAGGGGCAAAACAUUAAACAGCCGUACGCCGCGCUGAGGAAUGAGGGCCUUGGGGUUGUAAACCUCUUUUAGUAGGGAAGAAAGCCGUGAGGUGACGGUACUUGCAGAAGAAGCGCCGGCUAAUUACGUGCCAGCAGCCGCGGUAAUAGGUAGGGCGCAAGCCUUCUCCGGAAUUAUUGGGCGUAAAGAGCUUGUAGGCGGUUUGUCGCGUCUGCUGUGAAAGACCGGGGCUCAACUCCGGUUUUGCAGUGGGUACGGGCAGACUAGAGUGCAGUAGGGGAGACUGGAAUUCCUGGUGUAGCGGUGAAAUGCGCAGAUAUCAGGAGGAACACCGAUGGCGAAGGCAGGUCUCUGGGCUGUAACUGACGCUGAGGAGCGAAAGCAUGGGGAGCGAACAGGAUUAGAUACCCUGGUAGUCCAUGCCGUAAACGUUGGGCACUAGGUGUGGGGGACGUUCCACGUUUUCCGCGCCGUAGCUAACGCAUUAAGUGCCCCGCCUGGGGAGUACGGCCGCAAGGCUAAAACUCAAAGGAAUUGACGGGGGCCCGCACAAGCGGCGGAGCAUGCGGAAUAGUUCGAUGCAACGCGAAGAACCUUACCAAGGCUUGACAUGAACCGGUAAUACCCGAAAACAG
rnacentral:rRNA from 1 species